GAGUUUGAUCCUGGCUCAGGACGAACGCUGGCGGCGUGCCUAAUACAUGCAAGUCGAGCGGACCGAAUC
rnacentral:rRNA from 1 species